rnacentral:lncRNA from 10 species
ACAUUAUCUUCUCAAGGGCAUACAGCUGAGGCCAGGCCCAUGAAGAAGGGCCCGCCACACACCUCUCCACCUCCACAGUGGGAAUGUCCAUCUGUGGAUCCGCAAGCUCCUGGUUGGCCUGCUGACCCCAUCCAGCCACUGCGGGGCCCAGGGACUGCCACACAGCGCCACCUAGUGACAUCCGGGGAGGCGCCCCAGCCCUCCAGAUCUGGCCGAAGGAGAAUGGUUGCUAAGCUGGGGAGAAUAACGGAGGAGGCUGGUGGCCAACAGCUGCCCAACAUCCGGCCUCCAGCUGUGUCCUGCAUCCCUAAAUGUCUCCUCCCGAGGUGGCUGGAGGGUUGAAAUCUGUCUUCUCUGCCAUCCCUCCCCGAGCAGAGGCGCUGUUGCAGGGCCUUGCCUGGUGCCUCCUGCUCUGCCUGGUGCUGCCCCUCUGGCCUUCCCACAGAGGCCACAGUGUCGCUCCCUGCUGGAAACCAGCGUGCUCACCGUCCACACCGGUGCAUCCCAUGCUGGCUGCUCAAGGACCACCCUGAGCUCAGCCUGGACCUGGCUCCGGGAUAUUUGCAUUCAGCAGGACACGGUUAUAACAGAAGCCUCCCACCUCCCUGAAAAUACAAUACACUUCUGACAUCCUCCCAGUCUAAGAAAAGGCACCAACAAUGUUCAAGUCAUGGGUGGCUUCAGUGAAAACGCUGGUGAAAUGAUGACAGUUUGGCUGGCUUGGAUGGUUUUGCUGCUAGUGUGAAGAAUGUAAUUGCUCAGGCCUCGGCCUGCUGGCCUGACCCCAGCGAGCCCCUGGCCACACACUGCUUGAUCCUCGAAAUGGAAAAUGCAGGCAGCCAAGUCAGCAGGGAUCUGGCGACGCAGACAUUCUCGGAGUGGAGCAAAGCGCUGGAGAAAAGCACUUAGUGGAUGGGGUUUCUUUCUUCUUUUCUUUUCUUUUCUUUUUUUGAAUCACGUUGAUUGCAGUGCGCCCAGGCUGAGGAGGGUAUGCCUGUGCUCCCACACAGCUCCCACAGAUGGCCCUGGUCACCAUCAGAACGCAUGCAGCUUCCCACCCCACAUCUGACUUUCUGAAGCUCAGGCAGGCCUGGACAAUACCACACUAGCUGUCACUAAAGCUCCGAAGCCACGUUUUCCAGAUUGUCUUGAUUUCCCCAGAUAUUUUGAGUCCAGGCCUCACAGCCAUUCAACCACAGGCUUUAGAAUUGAGCCUGGCAUUUCAUAUCCUUUUCCAGUUUUCAAAAUAAGUCUUUCCUCUGGAGAAAAAUAUUGGCCUCCUUUAGAAGCUUGGGCCUGAAUUUGCUGCAUUUCUCUCAAGUCAGGCAGGGGUCCAGACCAUGUUCUACGAUCUUUCACCUAGCUCUGGGGAAAUCUUUCCCCAUCCUACCUUUGUGAGCAUGGUGGCAUAAAAUGGACACUGUCCAGGAGAGGCUGCAGGAAUUAGCCCUUCAGGGCUGGGGAGAGCUGUGUCCUGCCCUUGGACUGUAGCUCUGGGUCAACUGAGGUCAGAAGAAUUUGUACUUUCAACACCUCUUCCCUGUUGAAAUUUCUUCUGGGGCUACUAAUAAUUAACCAAGCUUGAAAGCCUGACUUCGCUUUCUUCUCUGUUUACUUGGUGACUGGUUUACACACCAACCAAGUGAACAAUCUGUCAAUAAGUAGUCAGGAAUCAACUGUCUCAAUAUUUAAUAAUUCAUACCACCCACUAACAUCUACUGAGACUCUACUGUGUACAAGUUCUAUGAUGGGAAACAAAGGUCAAGAUGCCAAAGACCUGCCCUCAGGGAGCCUCCACUCCGGCAAGGCAGAGUCCAAAACAGACAAACAAAUGUAGCAUCAGGUCUUACAGAAAUUCCAAGCUGGAGAACAUUAGCAACUCUUGAGUGUUUCCUGGAAGAGAUGGUGUUUGAGUUGGGCUUUGAAGGACAGGGAGGGAUUGGCACAGAGAGGGCAUUCCAGAGAUUCUACUGAUUAUUUAUUAGGCUGAUUGAAGUUACUUGGGCGAGCACGGUUACCCCUCCCUGACCACUAAAUUCCCAACACUUAAGUCUUGCACUGGAAGAAUUGUUUUCACAACCAGAAAAAUUUUGGUUCGGGUCUAUGCAAAUCAUCCAUGUUGGUGAUAAGAAAGAAAGAAAGGGGUUGGGGUAAGGAAGAAUAAAAGGAGAUAAAUUGGGCUUGGAACAACUGUAGAGGUUUUUGCAGUAUGACACGAGCAAGAAAAUUUAAAAGGAUGAUGGUAGAACUUCUGUUUCUGCAAGUGUGAAGGAGCCAAGAUGUAGCUCUAGACCCCACAGAAGCCAGAAGGGGUCAUUGGAACUAGACAAAUUCGGGAUCAAACUCUGGCUUCUCUUCUAACUAACCUCGAGGCCUCAGAUAAAUGGCAAGAUUAUCUCCAAGCCUCCGUUUUCCCAUCUGAAAAACCUACUUGAUAUGGUUUGGCUGUGUCCCCACCCAAAUCUCAUCUUGAAUUGUAGCUCCCAUAGUCCCCAUGUGUUGUGGGAGGGAUCCAGUGGGAGGUGAUUGGAGCAUGGGGGCUAUUCUCAUGAUAUUGCUAUUCUCAUGAUCGUGAGUGAGUUCCCAUGAGAUCUGAUGGUUUUAUAAAGGGAUUUCCCCCCUUUUGCUUGGCACUUCUCCUUGUUGCUGCCAUGUGAAGAAGGACACGUCUGCUUUCCCUUCUGCCAUGAUUGUAAGUUUCCUGAGGCCUCCCCAGCCCUGUAGAACUGCGAGUCAAUUAAAU